CCCAGACCACCCUGACAGGUAGGGGGAGAGAAGAGGGUGGCGGUGGCGGCGGCGGCGGCCUAUGGCCCCGCAAAAGCCACUGCAGAUCAUUGAUUUAAAGCGCCCGCUUUAAAUCAAUGAUCUGCAGCGGUGUCGCAGGGGGUUAAAUAGCCGAUAACUUAUACCGGAAUAUCGGUAUAAGUUAUCGGCCCUAACAUGCACCGAUUAUCGGUAUCGGCCCUAAAAAACUGAUAUCGGUCGAUCCCUAGUACACAACGUUAAUGAACCCAGACUGGGUGCCCAUAAUAUACCAGUAAGGGAACCACUAUUGAGCAACUUUUUUCUCUAACUGAAUAGUUGCCUAGAGCAGCAUUCAGAAUACAGCUGGUUAAACAAACGUAAGGAUACUUUUACACAUGCAUAUUGUACUGCAGCAUUUGCUACCUAUUAAAGUCAAUGGGUAGCAAAAUUAGCCACUUAAAAUCUGCAGCAAAAUCUGUACCUGUGAACUGAGCUUUUAUGUUAAGCAGUGCAUUCUGGGAGAGUGUUUAUGCUUCUACACUUCUCAAAAUUUCCCAUUAUUAAGCAGGAAGCUGACCAUGGCCCUCAUACUGUAGCUUAAAGGGGUACUCCGGUGCUUAGUGUUCGGAACAAAAUGUUCUGACCGCUUAGAGCCAGGGGCUCGUGACAUCACUCCCCACCCCCUCAAUGCAAGUCUAUGGGAGGGGGCGUGAUGUCACAAGCCGCCGGCUCUGUGUUCGGAACAUUUUGUUAUGAAUGCUAAUCACCGGCGUACCCCUUUAAGGUUAGCAAGAAAUGUUAUUUCACUCUAUUACAUAAAAAGUAAAAGAGUAACUGCAAAAAUGAAAACAAAUAUAUACCCAUAUACUUUUUGCACAAAGUGCUAUUAUUUACAUUGUGACUACAAUGUUAAAUAUUUUACUACCACGGGAUAUAGUAUUUAACAGAAGGGCAUCUAGGAGAUUAGGGGAGAGGAAAGGCGAGUGGUCUCCUUCAUAUCCUAAAGGGGUAGAAGGGGAAAGAAAAACCUCUUGUUGUCCAUUGGCUGUAUUGUGUACUGUAGCUUUGUAAUCCUAGAGAGUAAUUAAAGGGGUGCUUUUUUUUUCUCCUCAUUCAACUGGUGCCAGAAAGUUAAACAGAUUUGUAAAUUACUUCUAUUAAAACAUCUUAAUCCUUCGAGUACUUAUUAGCUGCUGAAUACUACAGAGGAAAUGAUUUUCUUUUUGGAACAGAGCUGUCUGCUAACAUCAUGACCACAGAGCUCUCUGCUGAAUCAUGACCACAGUGCUCUCUGCUGACAUCUCUGUCCAUUUUAGGAACUGUCCAGAGCAUCAUAUGUUUGCUAUGGGGAUUUUCUCCAACUAUGGACAGAGAUGUCAGCAGAGAGCUCUUUGUUUCAAAAAGAAAAUAAUUUCCUUUGUAGUAUCCAGCAGCUAAUAACUACUGGAAGGAUUAAGAUUUUUUUUUUUAGUAUAAGUAAUUUACAAAUCUGUUUAAACUUUCUGGCACCAUUUGAUUUGAAAGGGGAAAAAAAAAAAAGUUUUCCACCAGAGUACCCCUUUAAGGUAGGAUGAGAUCUAAAAAGAUGUUACUAUGUACUCACACAGUCUCCCAUUUUAAUGGAUAGACCACUGUUUCCCAGCCAGGUUGCCUCCAGGCAUGCUGGGAGUUGUAGUUUUGCAACACCUGGAGGCACCAUGGUUGGGAAACACUGGGAUAGACAAUGCAGUACUGCUAGGUCAUGUCAUUCCACCAGAGGGAGCACUCUUCCUCACUGAAGGUUUACAGUUUACACCAAUGCCAGAGCUAGCAAGAUGCCUAUUUUGUGGUAGGCUAUGUAUAUCCAUAACUUUACAUACAAUAUUGAGGACCUGAAAACCUAGGACACCAGUAUAACAUUACACACCAAGAUGGUACCUGACUCCUGGCAGCAUGACUUAAAAAUUUAGAGGUUUUACAUUUCUUUUAGGACAGUCAAAUGUGUUUACAUUGUUCAAUAUAUUACCAAAAUCCAAUCUAGGAUCCGGACAGAAGAGAUUGUUACUAUAGAAGGUACAGCUGGUGAAGAAUCUCAUUUCCUUUUUUUUUUUGCACUUUAAACUUGUUUAUAGAGGGAUCUUGUGUAUGAUUAUUGGGCUCAGUAAUACAAUGUAUAUUCAGUCAUUUUUAUUAAAAUAAUAAACCCAA